rnacentral:lncRNA from 1 species
AUGGGAAGCUUUUUAUUGCUGUUCUUUAUUGUCUUUGUUUGUGUAUGUUGGAUAUUGUGGUGUUUUAGAUCACUGAGUGUACAGAAGAGAGAAUUCAAACUAAAUAUUGCUUUUCUUCAGUUUUGUUUGUGGAAUUUGAAAUUACUCAAAUUUAAAAUAAAUUACUGGACUGUGGGAAAAAAAUCAAAUGUCCAGUGUUCAAAAAAAAAAAACAAAACAAAAACAAAAACAAAAGGCAUGCAAAGAAGCAGGAAAGUAUGGCACAUUAAAAGAAAAAAGAAACUACAGUAACUGUCCCUACAAAAGCAUUGAUGGCAGAUACACUAAAAGAGGACUUUAAAAGAACUGUCUUAAAGUGCUCAAGCAACUAAAGGAGAGUGUAAAGAAAGUUGAGAAAAUAAUGUAUAAGCAAUGAAAUGGAAAUAUCAAUACAGAGAGAGAAAACCCAAUAAAGGAACUAAAAUAAAUUCUAGAGUUGUAAAGAAUAAUAAAUAAAAUGAAAAUCCAUGAGGGUGAUUUUUAGACAGAUUUGAGGAGAUUCCAUGAGGGUGAUUUUUAGACAGAUUUGAGGAGACAGAAGAAAGAAUCAAUGAACUUGAAGAUAGUACAAUGGAAAUUACCAAGUCAAAGGAACAGAAAGAAAAAGAACCAAAGAAAAGUGAACAAAGACUAAGGAACUUGUGAUAAUACUGUCAAGUGGGUUAACAUAUGCAUCAUGGUUGUCCUAGAAGAGGAAGAUAAAGAAAAGAGAAGAGAGAGAAAAUUUGAAGAAAUGAUCACUGAAAAUGUCCCAAAUUUGAUGAAAUACAUGAAUAUAAACAUCCAAGAACUCAGCAAACUCUAAGUAAGAUGAACUGAGAGUCACAUCAUGGUGCAUUAUAAUCAAGCUUUCAAAAGACAGAAACAAAGAGAGCUUUUUGAAAGCAGCAAGAAAGAAGCAAAUCUCCACAAAGAGGGGAUCAUCAGCAGAAUUCUCAUUGGAGGUUCUGAAGGCCAAAAGAAAAUAUGAUGAUAUAUUCAAAACACAAAAAAGAAAAAAAAUAAUCAACCAAGUAUCAUAUACCUGACAAAAUUGUCUUUCUUUUUUUUUUUAAGAUUUUAUUUAUUUAUUCAUGAGAGACAGAGAGAGAGAGAGAGAGGCAGAGACACAAGCAGAGAGAGAAGCAGGCUCUAUGCAGGGAGUUCAACAUGGGACUAGAUCCCGGGACUCCAGGAUCAUGCCCCGGGCCAAAAGGAGGCACUCAACUGCUGAGCCACCUAGGAGUCCCCAAAAUUAUCUUUUAAAAGGCAAAGUGAAAAUAAGAAAGCCUCAGAUAAAAAAUGAGAGAGUUUGUAAGCUUGCCUUGCAAAAUAAGCUAAAGCGUGUCCUUCAAGGGAAAAUGAAAGUACCCUAGAUAGUAACUUGUGGAAGAAUCAAAAUUCUAGGAAAGAUAAAUGUAUGGACAAUUAUAAAAGCUAGUGUCAUUGUAAUAAUGGUUAGUUACAGUACUUUUUUUUUGUUUUCUACAUGAUUAAAGACACUACUACAUUUAAACACAAAAAAAAUAGUAGUCUAAAAACUAAUGUUAUUGUACUUGGAGUUUAUUACUUCAAAUCUUGGGUAUUUUUUGCAAAAUUUAAGAGAUUAAUGCAUUUAAAACCAUUAGUUUGCAUUUUUGAAUAUACAAUUAUAAAAAAAUGUAAUUUUGUUGCAUCAACAUCCAAAAGUGUAGAGACAGAACAGUAAAGGAACAG